GGAUGUGAGGGCGAUCUGGCUACGAUAUCUAUCACCGAAUUGAUCACCAGGGUUGAUUCCGCUCAUCUGGCUAGACGGGUGUCCCUUUCCUAUCUCACUGUUCCACAUGCGUCCCUCCUUCAUGCUUGGUCAAAGAGGACGACCUUCCCGGAAUAGAGGAGGACAGUCUUCCGUCAAAGGCAUAAGAGUAGCUGCGAUCCCCAGCUAGAACCUCCAAACAAGCUCUCAAGAAUCUAUGCAGGUUCCCACACUCACUCUACAACUUAAUACUCAAAUACAGACUAUACCACAGAAAGACAUUCAAAUUAGGUUUAAUCU
ensembl:misc_RNA 7SK 7SK RNA